GCGCGGCAGCAGUCACGCCAGGUCAGUCACGUGCCCGACCGUGCCCGCUGGCGCGGUCCGCCGCCGGCGGCCGCGCGGUUCGGCGCGGGCCCAGCGUCGGCUGAUUGGAGGAGCCGCGGUCGACCCGGCCCGGGCUACCCGCAGCCGUCACGUGACCUGUCCCGGCCCGGUCAGCUGCAGCACGGAGCGGGGCCGGGGCCGCACGCCGCUGAGUGACGGGAACCAUGGUGCUUCGGCCGGCGGCCUGGUCGGAGAUCGGCGCGUCUGAUGUGAUCGAGCCACAAUAUCGCAAGUAUUUAGGGUUUCAGUACGGUGGUUCUUGGUGGGUGUGGUGCUGCUUACCUUUUGGGUUACAAUGCUCUCCGUUUUAUUUUCACAAAUGUAUUCGUGCCGUUGUUAAAUAUUUGCGUGAUGUCAAAUCAUUGUCACUCAUGGCCUAUGUUGACGAUUUUUAUUUAUGCUCCACAAAAGCAAGCAUUGAUCGAGA